rnacentral:rRNA from 1 species
UGACGAGUUUGAUCCUGGCUCAGAUUGAACGCUGGCGGCAUGCCUUACACAUGCAAGUCGAACGGCAGCACGGGAGCAAUCCUGGUGCGAAGUGGCGGAACGGAUGAGUAAUGUAUCGGAACGUGCCCAGUCGUGGGGGAUAACGCAGCGAAAGCUGUGCUAAUACCGCAUACGAUCUAUGGAUGAAAGCGGGGGAUCGCAAGACCUCGCGCGAUUGGAGCGGCCGAUAUCAGAUUAGGUAGUUGGUGAGGUAAAGGCUCACCAAGCCAACGAUCUGUAGCUGGU